UUGGAGGGCAAGUCUGGUGCCAGCAGCCGCGGUAAUUCCAGCUCCAAUAGCGUAUAUUAAAGUUGUUGCAGUUAAAAAGCUCGUAGUUGAAUUUCGGGAUCAAAUUGUCGGUCGUGCCUCGGUACGCACUGGUAUUAUUGGUUCCUACCUUCUGAAGAACCGCGAUGUCAUUAAUUUGGUGUCGUGGGGAAUCAGGACUGUUACUUUGAAAAAAUUAGAGUGUUUAAAGCAGGCUUACGCUUGAAUACAUUAGCAUGGAAUAAUGAAAUAGGACGUUUGAUUCUAUUUUGUUGGUUUCUAGGAUUGACGUAAUGAUUAAUAGGGAUAGUUGGGGGCAUUAGUAUUCAAUUGUCAGAGGUGAAAUCCUUGGAUUUAUUGAAGACUAACAACUGCGAAAGCAUUUGCCAAGGAUGGUUUCAUUAAUCAAGAACGAAAGUUAGGGGAUCGAAGACGAUCAGAUACCGUCGUAGUCUUAACCAUAAACUAUGCCGACUAGGGAUCGGAUGAUGUUAAUUUUUUAAUGACUCAUUCGGCGCCUUACGGGAAAC
rnacentral:rRNA from 1 species